rnacentral:sRNA from 1 species
AUUCAAUAAAUGAUCAUUCAGAGCAAGAGCAAUGCAGUUCAAAAGCUAAACCUCCCAUUGGAGAACAGAAAAUUUAAUGAGCUUUUAAUGGAAUGCAAUGCUCGGAGUAGUAAAUUAUUUGUUAGUUGACGAUGCAAUCAGCAUGCUGAUUAAGGUUGCUUGGUUUUUUACUAAACAUUAACUGAAUGAAAACGGGUAGUCCUUGUUCUGCUUGGGGGCUUUAAGGAAGCAAAUGGACUUUCAGAACAGACAUUGUCAAUAAAGGUUAAGCAACAAAAGAUAUUUACAAUGCCAAACUGUGAUCCAUUCUUGAGAGCUUCAGGAGCCAAGAAGAUGACAAGGCCUGGUGGACCAGCGACAAAGAGAUGCAACAAGGAUAUGUCUCUGGACAGGGAUCAUUUUCUGGGUAAAAUUUUAUAAGAGGACCAGGAAGAAUAAAUUCUGUUAUAGGAUUCUAAUAUAUAUAUAAAUAUAAUUAUAUAUUAAUAUAUUAGUAUAAAUAUAGUAAAUAUAUAUUUAAUGUUUACCACAAAAUGAAGUAAUGAUGUAAUGACAGGCAUUUCUUAUUAUCUGAAUCUAAUACACACCUGAAAGUCUAUGGGAAAGCACAUUUUUAUAUUCAAGACAGGAAAAGUGGGGCAGCUGAGAUACUGCAGUGGCCCCUGGUGCUUAUUCCCAAGCCUGAUGAUUUGAGCUCAGUUCUCCAGACCUAUCUGGUGGAAGGAAAGAAGUGACCCCAGAGAUUGUCCUCUGACUCCCACAUGCACAGUGCCACACAUGUUCCUCCCCAUUCCAGUUAUAAAUGAUUAAAUAUAAUAAAAAUUGAAGCCAAACAUUUUCAUGGACACUCCCACAUUUCUGGUACAGAAGAAAUAUAUAAUCAUUGACUAUCACAGAAUUAAUACUUAAAAUGUGGGCUGGAGAAUUGGUAAAGUUUCCUGCUGUCAAACCUCACUAUCAGAGUUCAAUCCCUGGAGUGGACAUGAAUGACAAAAAUAACCAAGUAUUUCAAGUAGUCUUCUGACCAUCACACUCUACACACAUGUACAAGCACACAUGCACACACACAGACACAUACUUACUCAUACAAAUACAGUAACACUUAUAUAUGCAUACAUACAUGUCAAAAACAAUUUUAAAGUCAGAAUGAAUCAAUCUUAUUGGCUCUAGGGGCUACAAAAUGGGUCUUUUAACCAACAGUACCAAUCAAUGCAGGAACAGCAGCAGCUUUAAAUGGGGAACAUGAGAGAACAAUAUCUUGUUGGUUAGUAUAUCAUAUUUCAGUUAUGGAUCCAAAUGCCUAAGAUAACUUUAAUGAUUAUAAAAGUUUUUGUCUAGGUUUUUCGAUUACUUCUAUUUAAAGCAUUUAGAUAUUCUUCAGCUUGAUGGCAUACAACGAACACAUGUAGGAGCCAGCUCUGUCCCAUAGAUCAUGUGUUUCUCCCAUUCAAUGUACUUCAUUGAAAUACAAGGAAUAUUAUUACUCCAUUUUAUGGACAAGGCAAACUAGGCUUAACACGAUGUCAUUCUCCCCAAGUCCAACCCAGUGACUUUUAAAUCCUGGGGUUUUUAUAAAAGUGAUUUCCCUUUGGUAUGUUUUCAAACUUUAGCUGGUUCAUAUUUCUCUACAACUACAUAUUUAUUUAGUUUAAUAAGUGACCUUUCCCUGAGUAUGCAUACCUUUAAAAUAGAUUAAUAAAAGCAUUGUUAAGAGAAUAACUAUCAUUAAUUCUACCAUGUAGACAUGUUUCCUAACAAAUAAUUGUAAGUACUAUUUUUAUUUUUGCCAUAGUAAUUAACUUUAUUUUUCUCUUCAUAGGUUUUUCUUUAUAUACAGUGGUAUUUUAAAAGGAAUCAUGAAGAAUUAGGGAAGAUGAAGGAAAAGAACAGUACACGUAUCAGACAACUAGCUUUCAAAUGCAUGGAGAAGACCCUUGUGUGGCAGGUUACUCAGAGCCGUGGAGGAUGCAGCAGGGGCAGCUCUUGUUCCAAGAUGUUUGUGUUUCUGUGCUUUGAGGCACCAGACAAGAGAUAGACCCUUUUCUCCUUGUGUAUCUGCAAGCAUAAUGACUAUCUGCAGAGAUGGAAACUUCCCUAGAAAGAGACCUUGGGCAGGGUAAGGGAUGUGUACCAGUGUGUCUAGAUCAUUUUAGGAAGUACAGGCAGCAAAUGUCACAGUUUAAAACUAUCUUCUUUUCAGUUUUUUAAAGUCUAAUUAUAUCAGGAAGAAAGUCUCAGUCUGUUCCUAACAAAGGGCUUUCGAACACUUUUAUCUUCCUUUUUUUAAAGACUCUGAAGAUGAGCCCCAGGCUCAGUGUCUUCAGCAGAAAACUAUAGAGCUAGAGUUUAAUAAUAUUGUAUGGUUUUCAUAAAUUAAAAAUUCAGAUUACCAUCAUUUUAGGUGACAAAUUUUUAAUGGUAGUGAUUCAAAACUUUCUUUUAAAACAUACUUAGGUUAAAAAACAGAAAAGUGAUUUAAAGCAAAUAUCAAGUAAAAGUGAAUGUAGCACUGUAUAUACUGACAUGGUGAAAAUCACAAGACUAAUAAUGCUGGGAGAAGUAAAUCAAAUCUCCUCACUAGAUGGAUUGGACAUCAGAAGCCCAGAGAUGCAGGGAAUUACAAAGUCAGGACUGCUACGCCCAGGUCACCAUCAAGGCAGGGAUGGUAUCCACAGGCUUCUUUCCAAACGGAUGUUAGACUUUCACUUGACAGUAUAAACUAUUGUCUUCAAAAUGGUCUUUUCCUGUGAACAAUAUUCAUUGAGUUCAACUUGUAAAACUAUAAAGCUCUAUCUUCAUCCCCAUGUGAUGCUAAGGCUGACAUGGCGAGGUUAUUUAGAAGGAACCCCAGAUAUUGUAAAAACUCAACCAGAUUUGUGGAAUCUUAGUGAAUGAGAAAGGAAAUGGCAAGAAGCUGUCUAAUAUAAAAUUUUAUUCCAAGUUCAAUGCUAAACAAGGGUUUAUUCUAUGCAUCUUGAGUGUAGUUUGCCAAAAUAAGUAGAAAUGUGCUUUGCUUGAAAAAUUUAAAGUUCUUAGAACUAUUGCUCUUCAAAAAUACACAGAUUCAUCAAAAUACAAAAUUGAAUUUCUAGAAAGAGAAACAUUUAAAAACAAAACAUUGUUGCAAGUACUUAAAAAUAUAAUGAUGAUUGGAGUUGAUCUAGAGGAUUUGUUUUGAUUUUUAUCUGUUUGUUUUGUAUUUUAUUGCAAUAAAAUUUUCAAAAUGCUUGAGAAAGAUGUAGAUGCAGCUUGUCCUGUCCAAGGGUUCACAGCUUCCUAAGUCACUGGUCAUUCCAACCAUAUUAGCAGAACAAUAACUAGACUGUUGAUUAAAAAAAAUUAAUGCUCAGAGCUAGGGGAAGGGGAGGGGAAGGG